rnacentral:rRNA from 1 species
GUGAACGCUGGCGGUAGGCCUAACACAUGCAAGUCGAACGGCAGCACAGUAAGAGCUUGCUCUUACGGGUGGCGAGUGGCGGACGGGUGAGGAAUACAUCGGAAUCUACUUUUUCGUGGGGGAUAACGUAGGGAAACUUACGCUAAUACCGCAUACGACCUAAGGGUGAAAGCAAGGGAUCUUCGGACCUUUCGCGGUUGAAUGAGCCGAUGUCGGAUUAGCUAGUUGGCGGGGUAAAGGCCCACCAAGGCGACGAUCCGUAGCUGGUCUGAGAGGAUGAUCAGCCACACUGGAACUGAGACACGGUCCAGACUCCUACGGGAGGCAGCAGUGGGGAAUAUUGGACAAUGGGCGCAAGCCUGAUCCAGCCAUACCGCGUGGGUGAAGAAGGCCUUCGGGUUGUAAAGCCCUUUUGUUGGGAAAGAAAAGCAGCAGGUUAAUACCCCGCUGUUCUGACGGUACCCAAAGAAUAAGCACCGGCUAACUUCGUG